GGCCAAUACUAAAUUAUUGCUGCAUUUUACACUUGAUGUCAUCUCAAAAACGGAGAAAAAUAAGUCAUUGUGUACAAUGCAGCUGUACAGUCCUUGGUCUACUAGCUGAACAUUACAUAUGACUCAGGUUGGCUGUGCUUGACACUUGGCCUACAGCAUUACUAGCAACAAACGUCUUCUUCCUUUGGUGAACUUAAUGAGGCACCAGGAUACACAUGAACUGCCACUGGACAUGAACUGUACACAAUAAAAACCCGGCAUUGAAAACGGGCUGGCUGCCCUUCAGAAGUGACAGUGUCCUGAAGCGGGGUGAUGAUGGCAGGUGGAUAAACAGGCAUUUCCUGAUCAGGAGACACAACUUCUGGAACUAAAGAAAGAAACCACAAGAUUUGUCAUGAUUAAGUCACCAUAGAGACCUCACAGAAGGGAGCAUGUAGGUUUAUCUUAAUUUAUUUCACAGCAGAGUGCUUUCAAAGUUGGGUAGCAAUCUACUUUUAUGAGCUCCAAAUUGUAUUUUUAAAUGCACUGGGAAAGGACAAAAGCCUGCUUCUUAGGUUUUAUUUUCAGCUGGAAGUAGCAAGGCAUUCCUACCUUCCACUGAGAGUGAAGCUGAUGUUGUGGCAACACCAUAGUCAUUCUUGGCUUCACAGGUAUAGACUGCCGCAUCCUCUGGGAAG
rnacentral:antisense_RNA from 1 species